CGGUUCGUAUACCCUUUGCGUGGUCUUUUCUACGUACUACGCUUCUUCAACUCCUUGCACUUGAAAGAUUCCGUUCGCCUUGCCUUUGCGCUUACCGCUUACGUGCCUUUGACGCCGCUUCUGCAGUUCUCCUCUAUCCGGCCAACCCGUUUUUUUUUUUUAACAAUGGUAUAUACGGCCGCUACCGUACCGUUAUCCUACGGCUGUGGGUGCUCCGAUCCGAGAUUGUUCAACACAUAUACGUUCGAGAACGGGUCCCUUUUUUAAAGAACCGCGAGCGUGUUGGACAAUACCCUGAGUAAGCUAUUUCCACGCUCACCUGAACGCUGGGGAGUCACUUUAAAAUUUUGCAUCUCUUAAACUAUUACUAGUUGAAGACCUCCAAUGAAGUCACCACA
rnacentral:lncRNA from 1 species